AACUAAAAACCAAGGUAAUUAAGUGAACACUUCAUUGCCUAUCUGUCUAUCUCUUACCGUUAGCACAGAAGUGGCACUGAUCUGAAGAAAAUGAAAGCAACCCCCAAAAUACCUUCUCAAGAUAUGGGACAUCUCUUCAAGGGAGACUUGAUUAAGAGAGAGCAGGCACUUGGGGAGCUGGUACCAGAACCUCGGUCUUCA
rnacentral:lncRNA from 1 species